GCUCCGGAGGGGAGGCUCGGCCAGGCUUUCGGAGGCUGACGGAUCCCAGUGCCCAGACGUUCACCCGUCCCACAGCUGCUGUAGGAGACCCUACGGCUGCCGCAGCCUUGACGAUCAGCUGGUUCUGUGGAGGACAGCCACAACCCCCGGGUCCUCUUCAGGCCACAUACAAAAGCCGUGUGUGUUGCAAGAGGGCUGCGGACCACCCUUGGGAGCCCUUGAUGGACAGCUUCCCGCCUCCUGCCCCUCAGCAUCACCCUGAAAUCAUCGUUUCUGCUGGGCCACAGGCCUUCCCUGAGCUGGCCUGAAACGCCAACGCUUGUUUUCCUCUUGCACUGAAUAAGAGACUGACAAUAUCUAAUUGUCAGUACCCCUCCCCUGAGAGACGUGCAACAGCAUUGCUCCUCAGGGCAUAUUCCCCACUGCUGUAUUUAGAACAGUUUGAAAAGACCAAAUUUUAAAAAUAAUAAUCUUUCCAAAAACUCCCCACCCACCAGCACUCCUCUGCCAAAUUUCAGUUUGAAGAAAAUGAAAAAAGACAAGUUUAUACACUGAUGAACGGGAGUUCAAAAUGGAACCUGAACAUCGUAAUUCUUGUAUCUUCUGGCAGGGCACCACAGUGGUGCUCACAGGAGCAGCCCUGGAGAUGAUCUGCACUUACUGGCUGUGAGGAGGCUGGUGGACAUCGGGACAUGCUCCCUGCAGACAGCCCUGUUCUACAUUUGCUCUUGUGGAAGGCAGCCCCUGCUACGGGCAGAGCAAGAGCAGCACAAAGCGCUGCCGAUGGUCCCUUCAGACAUCCUGAGGGAGGGCAAGAGAGUGGCCACAGCAUCAACGGGGAACUUUUCCAAACCUAGGAGCAGAGGCGUACUGGAAGGAGAAGAGCCUUAACAUCAGGGGAACCAGCAAACAAACCAGCCACAGGCACCAACGCCGGCACCUUCCAUUGAGAGGAAACGACCCGCAGGAGGAAAUGUGCUCCUUCUCCGUCACUAACAGGGCAAAGUCCCUGGCGAACAGGUUCCAGGACACUUUAACAAACAGCGUCAACAGCCCAUUUCCCAGAGCUCAAGAGAGACAGUGGUGACAUGCUCUAAGUGCCUCUGCUGAAUUUUGGAAGGGUUGUGCUGUUCCAGGGUUAUCUGAACAGAAGAGAGUUCUAUUUUUCAUCCAUGUCGAAGUAUGAACUGUUUGGCACCACAAACAUCUGGAGGGUGUAUCUCUAACUGAGGACUACCCGAAGAGAAGCUCUAGACAAUACGAUAAACACUGGCCACACUGCAUUGUGUCCGUAGGAGGCAGAGAGAAGCAAUGGGCAUUGCCCUGCCUUCGGUGCAGAGGCAGUGAAGACAAAUACCCACCUGGGCAAAACGGAUGGAGCUGAAGAACUUUACGGGUGCUGCUGCCUCCUUGUUUCUGAUAAGGGAAGCGUAUUUGGUGUAUGUCACAGACAAUGACAGUGGCAGGGGUUGAGGUUAUUGGAUGACAAACCUGGUCCCACAGGUCUGGUGAGAUUCUUGCCCUGCAUGCUGUGCCCAAGGAGGAGGAGCAGCAGCAUUUGGGUCCCUAUUGUAUGUACACAAAGCCAGCAUGUUGUCUGCAAGUGGGACGUUGGGGCUUGGACAGUAAUUCUGGAAUAUGUUUUUCUCCUUGGGAUAUUUCUGAACUGCAGUCAGCGUGCUCCCCACUAGAAAGUGACAUGUAGGAGCCACCCUCUCUUGUUGAAAACUUGGUAGAACGUCUGUACAAUAUUAUGGUCACCAAACUAUGUCUAAACCUAAUUGGUUGCAUGUGGGAUUGACUGCUUUAAUAUAAAGAACUGAAUGCACUGAAGACCUGCCAGAGGUUGUGGAAAAGAUCAAAGGAGGUCAGAUAAAAGGCCAAAUGGAGCUUU
rnacentral:lncRNA from 1 species